rnacentral:tRNA from 1 species
GCCUCCGUAGCUCAGUUGGUAGAGCAGCGGACUUUUAAUCCGAACGUCGCAGGUUCAAGUCCUGCCGGGGGUA